rnacentral:miRNA from 1 species
CUGUUCUGGGUGCAUCACCCG